GAAGGGAGUCGGUGAAAGGGUGGUCUACACUGUUGGUUUUCGACCGCUACGACCCGGGUUCGAAUCCCGCAUUGAGCACUCUUUUCA